GGGGAUUUAGCUCAGUGGUAGAGCGCUUGCCUAGCAAGUGCAAGGCCCUGGGUUCGGUCCCCAGCUCCCCCA
rnacentral:tRNA from 1 species